UCUGAAAUAGAAUGUGUUAUAACAAGUGAUAAUCUUUCACUCCAAGUCAUGCACAAACUAAAUUGAAAUUAAGCAUCAAAAAAGCUACAAUGGCUGGAAAUUUUUGCUAGUUUAUUUAAGGAAUUUAGUUUGCCAUGUACAUUACUAAAACUUCUCAAUAUGCACACAACUAAAGUCACACUGGUUGAAAAGAAACUGAUACAAGCAAACUUGCCUGCUCGGAAAGGUAGAGACGUUG
rnacentral:misc_RNA from 1 species